UACGUAGGGUGCGAGCGUUUGUCCGGAAUUACUGGGCGUAAAGAGCUCGUAGGUGGUUUGUCGCGUUGUUCGUGAAAACUCACAGCUUAACUGUGGGCGUGCGGGCGAUACGGGCAGACUGGAGUACUGCAGGGGAGACUGGAAUUCCUGGUGUAGCGGUGGAAUGCGCAGAUAUCAGGAGGAACACCGGUGGCGAAGGCGGGUCUCUGGGCAUAACUGACGCUGAGGAGCGAAAGCGUGGGGAGCGAACAGGAUUGAGAAACCCG
rnacentral:rRNA from 1 species